AACGUAGGAGACGAACGUUAUCCGGAGUUACUGGGCGUAAAGGGCGUGCAGGCGGUCUGCUAAGUCAGACGUGAAAUCCCUCGGCUUAACCGGGGAACUGCGUCUGAUACUGGAUGGCUUGAAUCCGGGAGAGGGAUGCGGAAUUCCAGAUGUAGCGGUGAAAUGCGUAGAUAUCUGGAGGAACACCGGUGGCGAAGGCGGCAUCCUGGACCGGCAUUGACGCUGAGGAGCGAAAGCCAGGGGAGCAAACGGG
rnacentral:rRNA from 1 species